AAUCCAAAUGGAAGGGUUGGUGUUAUCAUUGGAAAAGCUGGGGAAACUAUUAGGUAUAUCCAACUUCAAUCAGGAGCAAAGAUUCAAGUCACAAGAGACCAUGAAGCUGAACCUGGUGCACUGACAAGGCAAGUUGAGCUUUCUGGCAAACCUGAGCAGAUAAGCAAAGCUGAACAGUUGAUCAAAGAAGUUCUGGCAGAGGCCGAUGCUGGGUCAUCCGGUGCUAGAUCUGGAGGCCGGAAAUACAAUGCAACACAACAAGGUGCUGAGACGUACC